rnacentral:rRNA from 1 species
GUGAGGAAUAUUGCGCAAUGGGGGCAACCCUGACGCAGCAACGCCGCGUGGGUGAAGAAGGCUUUCGGGUUGUAAAGCCCUGUCAGGUGGGAAGAAACCUCUGAAGGUGAAUAGUCUUCAGAGCUGACGGUACCACCAAAGGAAGCACCGGCUAACUCCGUGCCAGCAGCCGCGGUAAGACGGAGGGUGCAAGCGUUGUUCGGAAUCACUGGGCGUAAAGCGCGUGUAGGCGGUUUGAUAAGUCGAGUGUGAAAGCCCAAGGCUCAACCUUGGAAGUGCACUCGAAACUGUCAGGCUUGAGUACGGGAGAGGGAAGUGGAAUUCCUGGUGUAGAGGUGAAAUUCGUAGAUAUCAGGAGGAACACCGGUGGCGAAGGCGGCUUCCUGGACCGAUACUGACGCUGAGACGCGAAAGCGUGGGGAGCAAACAGGAUUAGAAACCCGUGUAGUCC